rnacentral:rRNA from 1 species
CCCUGGUAGUCCACGCCGUAAACGAUGUCGACUUGGAGGUUGUGCCCUUGAGGCGUGGCUUCCGGAGCUAACGCGUUAAGUCGACCGCCUGGGGAGUACGGCCGCAAGGUUAAAACUCAAAUGAAUUGACGGGGGCCCGCACAAGCGGUGGAGCAUGUGGUUUAAUUCGAUGCAACGCGAAGAACCUUACCUACUCUUGACAUCCAGAGAACUUUCCAGAGAUGGAUUGGUGCCUUCGGGAACUCUGAGACAGGUGCUGCAUGGCUGUCGUCAGCUCGUGUUGUGAAAUGUUGGGUUAAGUCCCGCAACGAGCGCAACCCUUAUCCUUUGUUGCCAGCGGUCCGGCCGGGAACUCAAAGGAGACUGCCAGUGAUAAACUGGAGGAAGGUGGGGAUGACGUCAAGUCAUCAUGGCCCUUACGAGUAGGGCUACACACGUGCUACAAUGGCGCAUACAAAGAGAAGCGACCUCGCGAGAGCAAGCGGACCUCAUAAAGUGCGUCGUAGUCCGGAUUGGAGUCUGCAACUCGACUCCAUGAAGUCGGAAUCGCUAGUAAUCGUGGAUCAGAAUGCCACGGUGAAUACGUUCCCGGGCCUUGUACACACCGCCCGUCACACCAUGGGAGUGGGUUGCAAAAGAAGUAGGUAGCUUAACCUUCGGGAGGGCGCUUACCACUUUGUGAUUCAUGACUGGGGUGAAGUCGUAACAAGGUAACCGUAGGGGAACCUGCGGUUG